rnacentral:tRNA from 1 species
CGGGGUGUGGCGCAGUUGGUAGCGUGCGUGCUUUGGGAGCAUGAGGCCGUGGGUUCGAGUCCCACCACUCCGA